rnacentral:rRNA from 1 species
GACGAACGCUGGCGGCGUGCUUAAUACAUGCAAGUCGAACGGAAAUGCUCUGCUUUUGUGUUGUUCUCGAGUGGCGAACUGGUGAGUAACAGGUGAGUAACCAGCUCUGUAAUUUGGGAUAAAGUGAGGAAACAGGGGCUAAUACCGGAUAGGAGCCCCUGUUGCAUGGUGUGGGUUGGAGAGUUUCGGCGGUUGGGGAUGGUGUGGCGGCUUAUCAGCUAGUUGGUGGGGUAGUGGCUGACGAAGGGUUUGACGGGUAGCCGGCCUGGGAGGGUGACCCGCCACAGUGGGACUCAGAUACGGCCCGUACUCCUACGGGGGGCAGCAGUGGGAAAUUGUGCACAAUGGGCGGAAGGCUGAUGCAGCAAUGUCGCGUGGGGGAUGACGGCCUUCGGGUUGUAACCAGCUUUCGCCUGUGAAGAAGAGUGAGUGACGGUAAUGAGUAAAGAAGCAACGGCUAACUACGUG